rnacentral:rRNA from 1 species
GACGAACGCUGGCGGCGUGCUUAACACAUGCAAGUCGAACGGACAGGCCCUGCGUUUGUGGGGCUCUCGAGUGGCGAACGGGUGAGUAACACGUGAGUAAACUGCACUUGACUUUGGGAUAACUUCAGGAAACAGGGGCGAAUACCGGAUAGGAGAUCCUGAUGCAUGGUGGGGGAUGGAGAGUUUCGGCGGUGGGGGAUGGACUCGCGGCGUAUCAGCUGGUUGGUGGGGUAGUGGCUUACAAAGGCUAUGACGGGUAGCCGGCCUGAGAGGGUGGUCGGCCACACUGGAACGGAGCCACGCUCCAGGCUCCUGCGGGAGGCCGCAGUAGGGUAUCUUCCGCAAUGGGCGAAAGCUUUACGGAGCGGCGCCGCGUGAGUUAUGAAGGUCUUCGGAUCGUGAUACUCUGUUAUUAGGGAAGAACAAAUGUGUAAGGAACUAUGCACGUCGUGACGGUACCGAGUCAGAAAGCCACGGCUAACUACGUG